AAUAAAUACACUCAAAAUGAUUACUGCUUCCCAGCCUUGGGUAUUUGGUGCCUUUUGAAUAGUUUUACAUUUAAUUGAAUUAGGAUGUACUUGAUAUUUUAAUGUUCUGUUCUGAUUUUUAAACUACUUUUGAAAGAAGUUUUUACUGCCUCAAUGGAUGAUUUAGUUGCUUCCCAUGAGUUCUUUACUGAUGGGGCGUACAUUACUGGCACAUGGACUGGUGUUACUUUUAAACUUGGUAUUUGCUUCUAAUGGCUUAGAAAUUAAAUCUAUAGUUGUGUAUCAUGUACUGUGUGGAUUGUCUUGUGGUAAGUGUCUGAUGUACUUUUGCUGUGUUGACUUGCAGCUUGUAUUGUCUGAUAGCCCACUUCCUAGUUAGUUAGUUAGUUAGUUAGUGUGGGAAGUGUGCGUCUCGAGUCACCAAAUUUUUGAUUCACAAGGUUUAUUUCAACUAUUUUAUAUAGGAUAUAUAUGAAUAUAUAUAGAUAGAUGGAUAGAUAGACAUCUUAUGUUAAAACGUGUUGGUGAGAGAGAAUUCAUGAGUGUGAAAGAGAAAUCAUUCGUUCUUUAUUUGUGAGUGAUUGUAAUCUCAAGUUUUCUAUGUAACUCUUUAUGGGAGAGAAAGUUAUCUCGUACUGAAAUGUUUUUGAACGUAUAUUGGAAUUUGUUAAUACUCUAAAUGAACCACACUAAAUCUUUUUUAAGUGCUCAAUUUUUUCUUGAAGCCUCUGUUUUCUAUGUAUGGUGUUGUAAAACUUAAGAUUAAAAACAGGGAGAAAUAAUAUUUAGAGGGCUUAAAGGAUCCCUCUAAUGAUCUUCUUUUUAUAAUGAAGAGGAUCUGAUACAUUGAUUAUGAAAAAUCAAAAGACUGUCCUAGAUUGCUAGGCACAAGACUAGGUACACCUGGAAGAAGUUCCCAACACACUUCUCCUUACUUUAGACCUAAUGAUGAUUACACUAGCUUACAUAGAUUUAAUAAUUAUUCCAACAUUCCUUUUCAAGCUGGAACAUACAAAUUGUAUGUACCAAGCUUAGAAACAAAUAAACUGAAUCCUAGGUUCCCAUAGAGACUUGGUCAACACAUCAGUAAGUUAGUCAUUUGAUCUAUCAAACUUAGUACAUAUUUUUUUUGUCAACAACUAUUCCCGCAUAAAUUGCAUUACAUCUUCACAGGAUUUCAUAGAAUUUAAGUUCUAGAAGGAGUUGCUUCACCCAUAUGUUCACACAUUAGUGAUGCCAUUGCCCUUUAUUCAGCUUCAACAGUCAAUUGGGCUACUAUAUUCUGUUUCUUGCCUUUCCAGGAAAUAAUAUUUUGUCUAAGGAAAACAUAAUACCCAUUACCCAGAGACCUGAACGUUUCCUCUAUCCUCAUAUAACAAACCUUGCCUUGGAACCUUUUUGAGGUAACUUAGAAUGCUAAUGAUAACAUUCAAUUGGCCAAGACAUGGAGCUUGCCUAAAUUGACUGAUCACUCCAACGACAAAAGAUAGAUCAGGCCUUGUAAUAGUAAGGAUAUAAAAACAUACUUCCUUUGAGAGAUUACAACUUCGUCUUUUGAUUGAGCUACUUCAAUGCAAGACGUAUUUAAGGCUCCCAAGAUCCUUGAUUUGAAAAUCUUUGCACAAGCCACUCCUUCAAUUGAGAUAUUCCAGUAGUAUCAUUUCUUGUAAUGACUAUAUCAUCAACGUAUAUUAUUAAGUAAGCACAUUUUCCUAGAGAGUGAUUGCUUGAGGCCAUAUAAAGAGCGAAGCAAUUUGCAUAUCACACCAGACUCCCCGUGGGCAACAAACGCAUGAGGUUGCUCCAUGUAAACUUCUUCCUCAAGAUCACCAUGGACGAAGACAUUUUUGAUAUCCAAUUGAUGAAGUGGCCAAUGACGGAUUGCUGCAUUGCAAAGAAAUAGUAGUCAUCUUGGCCACAAGAGAAAAAGUAUCACAAUAAUCAAGGCCAUGCACAUGCUUGUACCCCUUUGCAAUCAAUUGGGCUUUGAGUCGAUCAACUUCUCCAUUAGGACUGACUUUAAUGGCAUACACCCAUUGACAUCUAACUGCCUUUUCCCUGGUUGAAGGGGUACUAACUCCCAUGUAUGAUUUUGGUCAAAAGUAUGUAUUUCUAUAAUCGUGGCUUGUCACCAUCUAAGAUGAUCAAGUGCUUUAUUCAUAUUUUUAGGAAUAGUAACAAAGGACACUGAGGAUAGAAAGGAAUAAUAGGAAGGCGACAAUCUAUGAUAACUAUGAAAAUUAUAAAUGGAAUGUGGGUUUCGAGUGAAACGAGUACCUUUUCUAAGAGCAAUUGGUCAUUGGGGUCUUGUGUUGGAGGAUAUCAACAGGUAGAGAUGAUGGUUUAGGAGGACUUUAAUUACUACUAAGAUUGACAGAGAUUGAAAAUACUGAACUCAACUGUUGGUAUAGGAAGGACUUGUUGUAUGGGUUAAGAAGUGUACUUUAAGCCUAAAUCAACCCCACAAAACCAACUUGUAAAGUGAGGUUUGCACGCACUUAUAUAUCUAAAUUGGCCGUAUCUUUAGUAGAUGUAAGACUUCUAACACAUCCUUGUAAUGUUGAAAUAUAUACAUCUCGAGCGUGAGACUUGAUUAUGGAUGACAAAAAAAUCCGCACUGCAGAUACUUGCGGAUAAAAUCCGCAACGGUAGUUGGUAUCUGCAGGAAUUUCCUAUCUGCGGGUUGUGGGUAUUUUAAUACCUGCUUAUAAA